rnacentral:rRNA from 1 species
GACGGUACCUGCAGAAGAAGCGCCGGCUAACUACGUGCCAGCAGCCGCGGUAAUACGUAGGGCGCAAGCGUUAUCCGGAAUUAUUGGGCGUAAAGAGCUCGUAGGCGGUUUGUCGCGUCUGCCGUGAAAGUCCGGGGCUCAACUCCGGAUCUGCGGUGGGUACGGGCAGACUAGAGUGAUGUAGGGGAGACUGGAAUUCCUGGUGUAGCGGUGAAAUGCGCAGAUAUCAGGAGGAACACCGAUGGCGAAGGCAGGUCUCUGGGCAUUAACUGACGCUGAGGAGCGAAAGCAUGGGGAGCGAGCAGGAUUAGAUACCCUGGUAGUCCAUGCCGUAAACGUUGGGCACUAGGUGUGGGGGACAUUCCACGUUUUCCGCGCCGUAGCUAACGCAUUAAGUG